AUCGGUUUGAAACACAGACCUUAUGAAAGCAGUUUUAGUAAAGCAGUCCUCAGUUCAAGCGUUAUCCAUAGAUACCCUUCUGCGAGAGCCUCCUCCUAAGUGCCCAGUAAGUAAACUCUGCAAACAGGCCAUGUUCGUCACGUUAAGUGGCUCAAAAAAUCUAAAGGAAAUAUCUAUGUCUAACAAAAUGACUGGUUUAGUAAAAUGGUUUAACGCUGAUAAAGGUUUCGGCUUCAUUACUCCUGAAGACGGCAGCAAAGAUGUAUUCGUACACUUCUCUGCAAUCCAGAGCAAUGAUUUCAAAACCCUGGAUGAAGGCCAGAAAGUUGAGUUCUCAAUCGAGAACGGCGCUAAAGGCCCAUCAGCUGUAAACGUUGUUCCGCUUUAAGUAGCGAACAAUCGCACAGGAAUCU
rnacentral:sRNA from 1 species